rnacentral:rRNA from 1 species
GUGAAAUUGUUGAAAGGGAAACGAUUGAGGCCAGUCGUGCUGGCAGAAAAUCAGUCAAGCAAAGUUGUUUCUCUGUGAAGCGAUAAUGAUUGAUGCACUUUUCUGUUUGGCAGGUUAGCAUCAGCUUUGUUUGUUGUAAAAUGGUGGUCGGAAAGUGACUCUUUUUUGAGUGUUAUAGCCGGUUACAGAUGCAACAGAUGGGGCUGAGGAUUGCGGCAAAUGCCUUUGGGCUACAAACCUUCUUUCUGAAUUGUCUGGCAUAGAUUGACAGCAUGCUGACGAUUUAUGAUCCGGAUAUUCAAUAGAGUAGAGUUUGGUAAAUUUGGCAAGGAUGCUGACGUAAUGGCUUUAAACGAC